CUUGUUGCUUCGGCGGGCCCGCCUUAACUGGCCGCCGGGGGGCUUACGCCCCCGGGCCCGCGCCCGCCGAAGACACCCUCGAACUCUGUCUGAAGAUUGUAGUCUGAGUGAAAAUAUAAAUUAUUUAAAACUUUCAACAACGGAUCUCUUGGUUCCGGCAUCGAUGAAGAACGCAGCGAAAUGCGAUACGUAAUGUGAAUUGCAAAUUCAGUGAAUCAUCGAGUCUUUGAACGCACAUUGCGCCCCCUGGUAUUCCGGGGGGCAUGCCUGUCCGAGCGUCAUUGCUGCCCUCAAGCACGGCUUGUGUGUUGGGCCCCGUCCUCCGAUCCCGGGGGACGGGCCCGAAAGGCAGCGGCGGCACCGCGUCCGGUCCUCGAGCGUAUGGGGCUUUGUCACCCGCUCUGUAGGCCCGGCCGGCGCUUGCCGAUCAACCCAAAUUUUUAUCCAGGUUGACCUCGGAUCAGGUAGGGAUACCCGCUGAACUUAAGCAUAUCAAUAAGCGGAGGAAAAGAAACCAACAGGGAUUGCCCCAGUAACGGCGAGUGAAGCGGCAAGAGCUCAAAUUUGAAAGCUGGCUCCUUCGGGGUCCGCAUUGUAAUUUGUAGAGGAUGCUUCUGGAGCGGUCCCCAUCUAAGUGCCCUGGAACGGGACGUCAUAGAGGGUGAGAAUCCCGUAUGGGAUGGGGUGUCCACGCCCGUGUGAAACUGCUUCUACGAGUCGAGUUGAUUGUGAAUGCAACUCUAAAUGUGUGGUGAAUUUCAUCUCCAGAUAAAUAGUGGCCUGAGACCGAUAGCGCACAAUUAGAGUGAUCCAAAGAUGCAAAGCACUUUGUAAAGAGAGUUAUAAAGCACGUUUAAUUGUUGAAAGGGGAAACGCAUGCGACCUGUCUCGCAUCGCGGGGAUUUGCCUGUAUUCUCGCCCGCGGAACUACCCCGCGGGCGGGCCAGGGU
rnacentral:sRNA from 1 species